GCCAGGCGUGGUGGUGCGCGCCUGUAAUCCCAGCUCCUCGGAGGCUGAGGCCGGGGAAUCGCUUGAACCCGGGAGGCGGAGGUUGCAGUGAGCCAAGAUUGUGCCGCUGCAUUCCAGCCUGGUGACAAAGCGAGACUCUGUCUCAA
rnacentral:SRP_RNA from 1 species